CGUGCACCGGCACCGCACGGUUUGCAAAGUGAAUAGAACGUGGUCCCAGCGCCCGGGACGCGUCAGCCUCGGGAUCCAGAUGAACGCAGACUCGGAGUCGAGUUUGGAGAACUCAGGGUUUGGCUCCGGUUAUCAUGAUUUUAGAGCUCUAGACUUUGGGAUCCUUGAGGCUAUUCAGCUAUGCACUUUUGAAUAUCCUCUCACCAUAUUCAACAUAACAUUCUUAAUGAUUAUCCUCAGCAGGACAGGUGUGAGAGGAUUGCUAUUGUACUACAAUCAUGGUGCAAAAAUACCAGUCACCAGUGAGGGUGUAUAAACACCCCUUUGAAUUAAUUAUGGCUGCCUAUGAAAGGAGGUUCCCUACCUGUCCGCUGAUUCCCAUGUUUGUGGACAGUGACACUGUGAAUGAAUUCAAGAGCGAAGACGGGGCCAUUCACGUCAUUGAAAGGCGCUGCAAGCUGGACAUAGACGCACCCCGGCUGUUGAAGAAGAUUGCAGGAGUUGAUUAUGUUUAUUUUGUCCAGAAAAACUCUCUCAAUUCUCGGGAGCGCACUCUGCACAUUGAGGCCCAUAAUGAAACGUUUUCCAAUCGGGUCAUCAUUAACGAGCACUGCUGCUACACCGUUCACCCAGAGAACGAAGACUGGACCUGUUUUGAACAGUCUGCGAGUUUAGAUAUCAAAUCUUUCUUUGGUUUUGAAAGUACAGUGGAAAAAAUUGCCAUGAAACAGUAUACCAGCAACAUUAAAAAAGGGAAGGAAAUCAUUGAGUACUACCUUCGUCAGCUUGAAGAAGAGGGCAUCACCUUUGUGCCGCGCUGGACCCCGCCUUCCAUCGGGCCCUCUUCAGAGACGUCCUCGUCCAGCAAGAGUCAGGUGGCAUCCACGGCUGUUGUGGUCCCAGAGGCUGCCCUCAAGGAGGGGCUGAAUGGAGAGGCCCUCAGCAACCCUGGAGGGACCCCUGAGCCCACGGUGGGAACCCCUGAUGACAAACUCGAUGCCGAUUACAUCAAGAGGUAUCUGGGUGACCUGACCCCACUCCAGGAGAGCUGCCUUAUCAGGCUUCGCCAGUGGCUCCAGGAGACCCACAAGGGCAAGAUCCCAAAGGAUGAACAUAUUCUUCGGUUCCUACGCGCUCGGGAUUUUAACAUCGACAAGGCCAGAGAGAUCAUGUGUCAGUCCUUAACAUGGCGGAAGCAGCACCAGGUGGACUACAUCCUGGACACCUGGACCCCACCCCAGGUGCUUCAGGAUUACUACGCGGGAGGAUGGCACCAUCACGACAAAGACGGACGGCCUCUCUACGUGCUCAGGCUGGGGCAGAUGGACACCAAGGGCUUGGUACGAGCCCUGGGCGAGGAAGCCCUGCUGCGAUACGUUCUCUCCAUAAACGAAGAGGGCCUGAGGCGUUGUGAAGAGAACACGAAGGUCUUCGGCCGGCCCAUCAGUUCCUGGACCUGCCUGGUGGACCUGGAAGGGCUGAACAUGCGCCACCUGUGGAGACCUGGCGUCAAAGCCCUGCUGCGAAUCAUCGAAGUGGUGGAGGCCAAUUACCCAGAGACGCUGGGCCGCCUUCUCAUCCUCCGGGCACCCAGGGUCUUCCCUGUUCUCUGGACACUGGUCAGUCCAUUCAUUGACGACAACACCAGAAGGAAGUUCCUCAUUUACGCAGGAAAUGACUACCAGGGCCCCGGCGGCUUGCUGGACUACAUCGACAGAGAGAUCAUUCCAGAUUUCCUGAGCGGGGAGUGCAUGUGUGAAGUGCCAGAGGGUGGACUGGUCCCCAAAUCUCUGUAUAGGACUGCGGAGGAGCUAGAAAACGAAGACCUGAAGCUCUGGACCGAGACCAUCUACCAGUCUGCAAGCGUGUUCAAAGGAGCCCCUCACGAGAUUCUCAUUCAGAUUGUGGAUGCUGCUUCUGUGAUCACUUGGGAUUUUGAUGUGUGCAAAGGCGACAUUGUCUUUAAUAUCUAUCACUCCAAGAGGUCUCCGCAGCCCCCCAAGAAGGACUCCCUGGGGGCCCACAGCAUCACCUCUCCAGGCGGGAACAACGUGCAGCUCAUAGACAAGGUCUGGCAGCUGGGCCGCGACUACAGCAUGGUGGAGUCGCCCCUGAUUUGCAAAGAAGGAGAAAGUGUGCAGGGCUCUCAUGUGACCAGGUGGCCAGGCUUCUACAUCCUGCAGUGGAAGUUCCACAGCAUGCCGGCGUGUGCGGCUACCAACCUGCCCCGGGUAGACGAUGUGCUGGCCUCCCUGCAGGUGUCCUCACACAAGUGCAAAGUGAUGUACUACACAGAAGUGAUCGGCUCCGAGGACUUCAGAGGCUCGAUGACCAGCCUGGAGUCCAGCCACAGUGGCUUUUCCCAGCUGAGCGCCGCCACCACCACCUCCAGCCAGUCUCACUCCAGCUCCAUGAUUUCCAGGAGAGGACACGAGAUGACCGCAGGGUAUGAGACUAACGUGUCCUGCAGCUCAGGAGCCCUGGAAAUGACCGGGCAGAAUGCUGGUUGGGGCUGGCCUUCUGUGACCGUCACCCACCACCCCCUGUGGAGGGCAGGCCUCACCAGGCUGGGACAUCCGCCUUGUGUGGGAAUUCGCCUCUGUCUAGGGCCCACCCAGGAAGGACACACAGAGACCUAGGAAGUGGCAGGCUCUGGCCAGGAUCUGACCUCGUGCUUUCUUGGGCUCUUGGCCCUGCCAGACCGCUUCUUCCGUCAAAGCUCCUUGGAAAUUAAAACCAGAGUUUGUACAGACUCCGAGCCCCGAUGGAGGAGGCAGCACUGCUCCUGAGGCUGGAAAGGAAGACCCAGCACCCACAGCUGUCCUCAGAGGCGAGGGAGGGCUGGCUGGCUUUGCAGUGCCAGGUGGUCCUGGAGCCUGUGGAGCCCCUGGUGCGAGACGAACCAGGCCUCCCUAAACCCACCCCAGACUCUAGCCUUGGGGAAAGACGAGGCGAAGGGCCUCUCCAUGAGGGAAGGCCAUGCCCCUCGGGCCUCUCCUGUGUGAGCAUUGGUGUGUGGGUGCUGGAUUUGUGCCCAUUCUGCCCACCAGGACGGGCAUGGAGCUCAGUGCCUGUGUGGUCCCAUAGAGGGUCUGCACCCAAACUGCCUUUGGAAACUGGGUAUACAGGGAAGGCUGUAGGAGAGGAGGGUGGGCAGCUAGCCAGCAGCUCAGGUUCCUGGGGACUCCUACCUUCUGCUGAGUCCUCGUCCCAAAGCCCACAUGCUGCUUGCUCCCUCUUGGGACAUGCAGCCCCCAGCCCAACCAAGCAUUGAGAGACACCAGGACUGACUGCUUCUAGAAGGCUCUCGGCCGGAUGGGAGGAGCCUCUGGAGACCUGUACGAGUUGGCCUUGCCCUUGACAUGGCACCGUGGUGUGUUUGGAAGGGCCUGGUGGCUGCAGGGCAUCAGGCCAUGGUCCCAUCCUGAACACCCAUAUUCUCUGUCCUGGAGUUGGGGCUGGCAAAAGGGUCACCACACUCUGAGGUGCCUGGGAAUGGGCUCAGGCCACACAGGUCCUAGCCACCUGUUGCCCCGUGGCUCUCCCCAGCCCCUUGUGCUCUCCUUGGUGACCCCUUCCUGAGGCGGGCUGGGGGCAGAACAUGGGGAGAAACCUGCCUGGAAGGCCAGGCCGUGGGGUUAAAAUGGAUGGGCAGGGUCUGCCCUUGCAGCCGCCCUGAAGGCCAGGGCAAGAGGGUGCCGAGGGCGGGCUGUCAGGCCUCCCCCUGGGCUGGAUGCACCCACAACCUCCCCUGGGUUGUCCUAGGUGCACACUAGAUGCUCAGCUGCCCCAUUUUAUAUGCAGCCUCAAGAUGAGCCAGGCCAGGUGGUGGUGGUCUCUGAAGGAGUGAAGGUCUAGGGGUCCCAGUGGCCCUGGGCUCCCCUGUUUCCUGGAGGUGCCUUGUUGGUGCAAAGCUCUGCUGCAGGGGCAGUGGCUCAAGUUAGGCCCUGGGCUGUGCUCUAUCUUUUCAGCCUGCCCAGCCCUCACCAGGCUGCCGGCCUUGCCUCUGCUGUGCCCUGAGGCUCUUGCACAUGACUUGGUGGUGUGGUAGCCCAGACUCUGUCUUGGUGCCCCUGACAGGCUUUUGUGCAGACGGGAUGAUGGUGAGACUGGCUCAUCCAAGUGUCAGUUCUGCUCUGAAAGCUCCUUCCCACUCCAUCCAGCCUGGCACUCCGGGGCCCGGCUGCGGCAAGGUUGCCUGGGCGCUGCCAGCCACAAGCUCCUCAGAGCCCUCCUCUGGCUGUGUCCUGCUCUCCCCAGCCCAGCCCCGUUACAGAGCUGGGGAAACUGAGGUCCCAGGACCACUGACCACCAGGUAUUUCCCCACCGUGGGCCCAGCAGACCAGACACUCCUGAAGGGCUGCCGCAGAGCCUGGCAGGGGGACAGGCCAGGUGGGGAAAGCAUCCUCAGCUGGAAGGCCUGGGGCCACCUCCCUGGAGCCCCAGCCCCAUCCCAACCCAACUGGGGCCUUGUGUUCUGAGUUCAUCUUCCUCCAGGCUCUAGAUAAAAACUUUGCUUUUCA